UUAAGUUAGAAAGGGCGCACGGUGGAUGCCUUGACACUAGGAGUCGAUGAAGGACGGGACUAACGCCGAUAUGCUUCGGGGAGCUGUAAGUAAGCUUUGAUCCGAAGAUUUCCGAAUGGGGAAACCCACCAUACGUAAUGGUAUGGUAUCCUUAUCUGAAUACAUAGGGUAAGGAAGACAGACCCAGGGAACUGAAACAUCUAAGUACCUGGAGGAAGAGAAAGCAAAUGCGAUUUCCUGAGUAGCGGCGAGCGAAACGGAACAUAGCCCAAACCAAGAGGCUUGCCUCUUGGGGUUGUAGGACAUUCUAUACGGAGUUACAAAGGAACGAGGUAGACGAAGCGACCUGGAAAGGUCCGUCGUAGAGGGUAACAACCCCGUAGUCGAAACUUCGUUCUCUCUUGAAUGUAUCCUGAGUACGGCGGAACACGUGAAAUUCCGUCGGAAUCUGGGAGGACCAUCUCCCAAGGCUAAAUACUCCCUAGUGAUCGAUAGUGAACCAGUACCGUGAGGGAAAGGUGAAAAGCACCCCGGAAGGGGAGUGAAAGAGAUCCUGAAACCGUGUGCCUACAAAUAGUCAGAGCCCGUUAACGGGUGAUGGCGUGCCUUUUGUAGAAUGAACCGGCGAGUUACGAUCCCGUGCGAGGUUAAGCUGAAGAGGCGGAGCCGCAGCGAAAGCGAGUCUGAAUAGGGCGUUUAGUACGUGGUCGUAGACCCGAAACCAGGUGAUCUACCCAUGUCCAGGGUGAAGUUCAGGUAACACUGAAUGGAGGCCCGAACCCACGCACGUUGAAAAGUGCGGGGAUGAGGUGUGGGUAGCGGAGAAAUUCCAAUCGAACCUGGAGAUAGCUGGUUCUCCCCGAAAUAGCUUUAGGGCUAGCCUUAAGUGUAAGAGUCUUGGAGGUAGAGCACUGAUUGGACUAGGGGUCCUCAUCGGAUUACCGAAUUCAGUCAAACUCCGAAUGCCAAUGACUUAUCCUUAGGAGUCAGACUGCGAGUGAUAAGAUCCGUAGUCAAAAGGGAAACAGCCAGACCGCCAGCUAAGGUCCCAAAGUGUGUAUUAAGUGGAAAAGGAUGUGGAGUUGCUUAGACAACUAGGAUGUUGGCUUAGAAGCAGCCACCAUUUAAAGAGUGCGUAAUAGCUCACUAGUCGAGUGACUCUGCGCCGAAAAUGUACCGGGGCUAAAUACACCACCGAAGCUGCGGAUUGAUACCGAAUGGUAUCAGUGGUAGGGGAGCGUUCUAAGGACAGUGAAGUCAGACCGGAAGGACUGGUGGAGUGCUUAGAAGUGAGAAUGCCGGUAUGAGUAGCGAAAGACGGGUGAGAAUCCCGUCCACCGAAUGCCUAAGGUUUCCUGAGGAAGGCUCGUCCGCUCAGGGUUAGUCAGGACCUAAGCCGAGGCCGACAGGCGUAGGCGAUGGACAACAGGUUGAUAUUCCUGUACCACCUCUUUAUCGUUUGAGCAAUGGAGGGACGCAGAAGGAUAGAAGAAGCGUGCGAUUGGUUGUGCACGUCCAAGCAGUUAGGCUGAUAAGUAGGCAAAUCCGCUUAUCGUGAAGGCUGAGCUGUGAUGGGGAAGCUCCUUAUGGAGCGAAGUCUUUGAUUCCCCGCUGCCAAGAAAAGCUUCUAGCGAGAUAAAAGGUGCCUGUACCGCAAACCGACACAGGUAGGCGAGGAGAGAAUCCUAAGGUGUGCGAGAGAACUCUGGUUAAGGAACUCGGCAAAAUGACCCCGUAACUUCGGGAGAAGGGGUGCUUUCUUAACGGAAAGCCGCAGUGAAUAGGCCCAAGCGACUGUUUAGCAAAAACACAGCUCUCUGCGAAGCCGUAAGGCGAAGUAUAGGGGGUGACACCUGCCCGGUGCUGGAAGGUUAAGGAGAGGGGUUAGCGUAAGCGAAGCUCUGAACUGAAGCCCCAGUAAACGGCGGCCGUAACUAUAACGGUCCUAAGGUAGCGAAAUUCCUUGUCGGGUAAGUUCCGACCCGCACGAAAGGUGUAACGAUUUGGGCACUGUCUCAACCAGAGACUCGGUGAAAUUAUAGUACCUGUGAAGAUGCAGGUUACCCGCGACAGGACGGAAAGACCCCGUGGAGCUUUACUGUAGCCUGAUAUUGAAUUUUGGUACAGUUUGUACAGGAUAGGCGGGAGCCUUUGAAACCGGAGCGCUAGCUUCGGUGGAGGCGCUGGUGGGAUACCGCCCUGACUGUAUUGAAAUUCUAACCUACGGGUCUUAUCGACCCGGGAGACAGUGUCAGGUGGGCAGUUUGACUGGGGCGGUCGCCUCCUAAAGUGUAACGGAGGCGCCCAAAGGUUCCCUCAGAAUGGUUGGAAAUCAUUCGUAGAGUGCAAAGGCAUAAGGGAGCUUGACUGCGAGACCUACAAGUCGAGCAGGGACGAAAGUCGGGCUUAGUGAUCCGGUGGUUCCGCAUGGAAGGGCCAUCGCUCAACGGAUAAAAGCUACCCCGGGGAUAACAGGCUUAUCUCCCCCAAGAGUCCACAUCGACGGGGAGGUUUGGCACCUCGAUGUCGGCUCAUCGCAUCCUGGGGCUGUAGUCGGUCCCAAGGGUUGGGCUGUUCGCCCAUUAAAGCGGUACGCGAGCUGGGUUCAGAACGUCGUGAGACAGUUCGGUCCCUAUCCGUCGUGGGCGUAGGAAAUUUGAGAGGAGCUGUCCUUAGUACGAGAGGACCGGGAUGGACGCACCGCUGGUGUACCAGUUGUUCUGCCAAGGGCAUAGCUGGGUAGCUAUGUGCGGAAGGGAUAAGUGCUGAAAGCAUCUAAGCAUGAAGCCCCCCUCAAGAUGAGAUUUCCCAUAGCGUAAGCUAGUAAGAUCCCUGAAAGAUGAUCAGGUUGAUAGGUUCGAGGUGGAAGCAUGGUGACAUGUGGAGCUGACGAAUACUAAUAGAUCGAGGACUUAACCAU
rnacentral:rRNA from 1 species